rnacentral:rRNA from 1 species
AUUGAACGCUGGCGGCAGGCCUAACACAUGCAAGUCGAGCGGAUGAAGGGAGCUUGCUCCUGGAUUCAGCGGCGGACGGGUGAGUAAUGCCUAGGAAUCUGCCUGGUAGUGGGGGAUAACGUCCGGAAACGGGCGCUAAUACCGCAUACGUCCUGAGGGAGAAAGUGGGGGAUCUUCGGACCUCACGCUAUCAGAUGAGCCUAGGUCGGAUUAGCUAGUUGGUGGGGUAAAGGCCUACCAAGGCGACGAUCCGUAACUGGUCUGAGAGGAUGAUCAGUCACACUGGAACUGAGACACGGUCCAGACUCCUACGGGAGGCAGCAGUGGGGAAUAUUGGACAAUGGGCGAAAGCAUGAUCCAGCCAUGCCGCGUGUGUGAAGAAGGUCUUCGGAUUGUAAAGCACUUUAAGUUGGGAGGAAGGGCAGUAAGUUAAGACCUUGCUGUUUUGACGGUACCAACAGAAUAAGCACCGGCUAACUUCGUG